AAAAGGACUCUCGGCAACGGAUAUCUAGGCUCUCGCAUCGAUGAAGAACGUAGCGAAAUGCAAUACUUGGUGUGAAUUGCAGAAUCCCGCGAAUCAUCGAGUUUUUGAACGCAAGUUGCGCCCGAAGCCAUUCGGCCGAGGGCACGUCUGCCUGGGUGUCACGC
rnacentral:rRNA from 1 species